UACGUAGGGUGCGAGCGUUAAUCGGAAUUACUGGGCGUAAAGCGUGCGCAGGCGGUUUUGUAAGCCAGAUGUGAAAUCCCCGGGCUUAACCUGGGAAUGGCAUUUGGGACUGCAAGGCUGGAGUGUGGCAGAGGAGACUGGAAUUCCUGGUGUAGCAGUGAAAUGCGUAGAUAUCAGGAGGAAUACCGAUGGCGAAGGCGGGUCUCUGGACAGUUCCUGACACUGAGGCACGAAGGCCAGGGGAGCAAACGGG
rnacentral:rRNA from 1 species